rnacentral:rRNA from 1 species
UACGUAGGGUGCAAGCGUUGUCCGGAAUUAUUGGGCGUAAAGAGUUCGUAGGCGGUCUGUCGCGUCCGUUGUGAAGGCCUGGGGCUCAACCCCAGGUCUGCAGUGGAUACGGGCAGACUAGAGUCAGGUAGGGGAGAACGGAAUUCCUGGUGUAGCGGUGAAAUGCGCAGAUAUCAGGAGGAACACCGGUGGCGAAGGCGGGUCUCUGGGCCGAUACUGACGCUGAGGAGCGAAAGCGUGGGGAGCGAACAGG